GAUGAACGCUAGCUACAGGCUUAACACAUGCAAGUCGAGGGGAAACGACAUCGAAAGCUUGCUUUUGAUGGGCGUCGACCGGCGCACGGGUGAGUAACGCGUAUCCAACCUGCCCACCACUUGGGGAUAACUUUGCGAAAGUAAGACUAAUACCCAAUGGCGUCUCUAGAAGACAUCUGAAAGAGAUUAAAGAUUUAUCGGUGAUGGAUGGGGAUGCGUCUGAUUAGCUUGUUGGCGGGGUAACGGCCCACCAAGGCGACGAUCAGUAGGGGUUCUGAGAGGAAGGUCCCCCACAUUGGAACUGAGACACGGUCCAAACUCCUACGGGAGGCAGCAGUGAGGAAUAUUGGUCAAUGGACGAGAGUCUGAACCAGCCAAGUAGCGUGCAGGAUGACGGCCCUAUGGGUUGUAAACUGCUUUUAUAAGGGAAUAAAGUGAGAGUCGUGACUCUUUUUGCAUGUACCUUAUGAAUAAGGACCGGCUAAUUCCGUGCCAGCCGCCGCUGUAA
rnacentral:rRNA from 1 species